rnacentral:rRNA from 1 species
UACGUAGGGUGCGAGCGUUGUCCGGAAUUAUUGGGCGUAAAGGGCUCGUAGGCGGUCUGUUGCGUCGGGAGUGAAAACUCGGGGCUUAACCCCGAGCCUGCUUCUGAUACGGGCAGACUAGAGGUAUGCAGGGGAGAACGGAAUUCCUGGUGUAGCGGUGAAAUGCGCAGAUAUCAGGAGGAACACCGGUGGCGAAGGCGGUUCUCUGGGCAUUACCUGACGCUGAGGAGCGAAAGUGUGGGGAGCGAACAGG